rnacentral:rRNA from 1 species
UACGGAGGGGGGCUAGCGUUGUUCGGAAUUACUGGGCGUAAAGCGCACGUAGGCGGCUUUGUAAGUUAGAGGUGAAAGCCCGGGGCUCAACUCCGGAAUUGCCUUUAAGACUGCAUCGCUAGAAUUUGUGGAGAGGUAAGUGGAAUUCCGAGUGUAGAGGUGAAAUUCGUAGAUAUUCGGAAGAAACACCAGUGGCGAAGGCGACUUACUGGACACAUAUUGACGCUGAGGUGCGAAAAGCGUGGGGAGCAAACAGG